rnacentral:lncRNA from 12 species
AUGUACCUUCUGCUGUUCCACUCAUCUCUAAUGGAUAACUUGAUGUCUGGCCUAACAGCUUAUUUAGAUGCUUAUUGGACUGGGUCUGGAGAUCACCUUGUAAGCACAAAGUCCAUUUGCAUGGAGCUGUGGCAGCUGGCAGACAUGCAGAAACUGAGAAGGGAGAAAGCAAUAGAGGACUACAGAAUGAAUGAGGAUGGUCUUUUGAUCAAGCCAGCCAUGGAAUUUAAUAGAGAGAAACAAUUCACAGAAGGAUAGAAACUACAGAGAUUAUAGGUAUUGCUUUCCCACAAAAAAAAAAAAAAAAGCAGAGUCUUAAACCAUAUCCUUCAACAAUCAAGGAUGUACUUUGUCAAACUUGUUGUUUGUUGUUGUCAAACAGUACUUGAAAAUCAAAUUCAUAUGGUAAAAUCUGUGGAAGGACCUUAAACUGACCUCAAGUGGAUUGUAUGAAUUUAAUUUCUGACAGAAGUGAUUUGAUGAGCUUAGAUUGGGUGUUUGGAGACAUCUAAGUGAAAAAGGGGCUAUUCUCCUUGCAGGGUGUCAAACAAAAGCUCCUGACUUUACAAUGACAGGUAAUUUAACAUUCCAUUGUUGAAUAGAAAUAAUGAUGAUCUGUCCUUUGGAGGAAAUUCCUGCUGUGUCUGACUGUUCUUCUCCAGGUCUGUUUUUGAGAUCCAUUUUU